AUGGUUCUCAGGAACAAAAUGCCCUAUGCAAAAGAGAAAGGCAAACAGAGACAUAUGGAUUUCAUCACAGAAGAAGCAAAACUCUCCAAGCCGUGUAAAUGUCUCAAAUGGAUGUUCUUCUGGAAACUCACCCUUCACCUGCUUCUAAAGGCAACUUUCAGGGGCCAGAUAACUUACUAAGUACAGAAAAUUCAAGGCUAGAACAGAAGAGCAGGAUGCCAACUGUGUUUUGCCUUGAUGGAAGGUCAGAGAAACGGAUCUUUCAUCCUAUCUUCAUCAACCAAAAUCACACUGAAGAACAGCUGGACAGUUUUGAGGGCAGCACUUCAUACAGGGUAAGACUGCAUUCAGUGAAUAAAGCUAAAUAAAUAUAGUAGACUUCAGAGUAAAAAGAACAUUUUCAUGGUACAGAUCCAAUGGCAGUUGCAGACCUUACACAAAGAAGAGAUUUUCAGACUCUUGUCUAGUGCUCAAUGAAUUUAUAUCACUUCCAAAACUUUUAUCUCAGAAUACCAGAAGAGAGAAAGACUUCAUCUCACAGCAUCUGGGUAAAGCGUUGCCCUAAAAUUUCUCUGAAGAACAAUGUUUCUCUACUUCCCAUUUUUAAUUUAAUUUUUCAUGUGAUGUUUGCAUUC